rnacentral:rRNA from 1 species
AAAAGCUAACAAGGGCACACGGAGGAUGCCUAGGCAACAGCAGCCGAUGAAGGACGUGAUAAGCUGCGAUAAGCCGGGAGGAGAUGCACAUGAUCAGUGAUUCCCGGAUUUCCGAAUGGGUAAACCUGCAUGUCUGGAGGACAUGCGUGAAAACGGUAAGCCCGCGAACUGAAACAUCUAAGUAGCGGGAGGAAAAGAAAGUAAAAACGAUUCCCUGAGUAGCGGCGAGCGAACGGGGAGGAGCCUAAACCGUGCCAGUGCCAAGCGGACAGCGUUGCUGGCACGGGGUUGUGGGACUUCCAUUAGCGGAUUGUCAUAAUGCUUAAGCCGCAUAUGUGUAAGUGGAACCAGCUGGGAAGCUGGACCGAAGAAGGUGAUAGUCCUGUAGAACAUAAAGCAUAUGCUGCGACUGGAAGCACCCGAGUAGCGUCAGGCACGAGGAAUCUGGCGUGAAUCAGCGUGGACCAUAUCACGCAAGGCUAAAUACUGCUGUUGACCGAUAGUGAAGAGUACCGUGAGGGAAAGGUGAAAAGAACCCUGAGCAAGGGAGUGAAACAGAAUUUGAAACCGUGUGCUUACAAACGGUAGGAGCACUUUAUGUGUGACUGCGUGGAUUUUGGUUAAUCAUCCUGCGAGUUAUGAUGUGUGGCGAGGUUAAGUAGAAGCGGAGCCGAAGGGAAACCGAGUCUUAAGAGGGCGCAAGUCGCAUGUCAUAGACGCGAAACCUAGUGAUCUAGGCCUGUCCAGGCUGAAGCUGAGGUAAGACUCAGUGGAGGGCCGAACUCACCGCCGUUGAAAAGUUGGGAGAUGAGAUAGGUCUAGGGGUGAAAAGCCAAUCGAACUAGGAGAUAGCUCGUUCUCUCCGAAAUGCAUUUAGGUGCAGCCUCGGUUGAAGAUAUGCGGGGGUAGAGCACUGUAUGGCCUAGGGGGCGUAUAGCUUACCGAAGUCAAGCAAACUGCGAAUACCGUAUAUUGUUUACCGGGAGUGAGUCUACGGAUGACAAGGUCCGUGGACGAGAGGGGAACAGCCCAGACCGCCGGCUAAGGUCCCAAAUCAUGUCUAAGUGGGAAAGGAGGUGGAUAUUCACAGACAACCAGGAGGUUGGCUUAGAAGCAGCCAUACCUUGAAAGAGUGCGUAAUAGCUCACUGGUCGAGAGUAUCUGCGCCGAAGAUAUAACGGGGCUAAGACAUGAACCGAAGCUGCGGAAGCGUGGUAACACGUUUGGUAGGAGAGCGUUCUGUAGGCCGUAGAAGGUGUCCUGGAAGGGAUGCUGGAGGUAUCAGAAGUGAGAAUGCAGGAAUGAGUAGCGAGAAGGAGGGUGAGAAUCCCUCCGGCCGGAAGUCCAAGGUUUCCAGGGGAAGGUUUGUCCGCCCUGGGGGAGUCGGGACCUAAGCAUAAGCAGAGCUGCGAAGGCGAAUGGAAAACAGGUUAAUAUUCCUGUACCGCUGUGGACUGAUUGAAAGAUGGAGUGACGCAGGAAGGUAUGCGGGAAGGCUGACGGAAUAGCCUUUCUAAGGGUGAAGCGUGGACAUAUAGGCAAAUCCGUAUGUUUAAACGUGAGGCCUGAUGGGGAAGUACCAUAAGGUAUAAGCCGCAGAUCCUACACUGCCGGGAAAAACUUCUAUUUAGGGAAACAGCGCCCGUACUGUAAACCGACACAGGUGGACAGAGUGAGAAACUUAAGGCCGACAGGAUAACUCUAGCUAAGGAACUCUGCAAAAUGGCCCCGUAACUUCGGGAGAAGGGGUGCCUGACAUACCUGAAGGGAGAGACGCCCUGAGGGGAAACAGGCCGCAGUGAAGAGUCCCAAGCAACUGUUUACCAAAAACACAGGUCUAUGCUAAGCUGAAAGGCGACGUAUAUGGGCUGACACCUGCCCAGUGCCGGAAGGUUAAGAGGAGGAUUGAGAGAUUCGAAUUGAAGCCCCGGUGAACGGCGGCCGUAACUAUAACGGUCCUAAGGUAGCGAAAUUCCUUGUCGGGU